rnacentral:rRNA from 1 species
AUGGCAAAGGCAUCAAUGGCAUUGUUGAAGAAAAUGGAUGAUGUGCUAACCAAAGAUUUUGAUGUUGUGAUCCACACCUUCGGCUUAAUUGUUUGUUUCUUCCAUUCUUCUCUUUCUUCACUUUUAUUGUACUUGUUGCAAUAG